GCCGGGGGGGUGGCGGCGCGACGGAAGCGGACGCUGGCGCGAGAGAGGAGGGUGGCGAAGGCGCAUGCCAGUUGUGCCGUCGCCGCGCUACGAGUCGGGCAACCCCCGGGAUUCUCUCUCUCGCCCUUCUCGGCCGGGACAGGCCGGCGAUCGCGCGCGCGACCACGUCGUGUCGCGUCGUGCCGCCCGGGCGAUUCUCCGGCGCGGAUUCUUCGCGACUUCCGCCGGCCGGCUAAGCCGCCGCUUGCUCGCUCGCAGGUGCUCCGCAGGAGGCGCAGCUGCAAGUGUGCGUCGCCGACCGUGGCGGCUCCCGCGAGAGGAACCGGCCGCCCGCGAGCGGCGGCGACCUGGAGCCGCGCUCCAGGAGAGGAGGACUCGCCGGAGAAAGAGGCGGCAACGCACUACUCGUAUCGGCUGGCUCGUCUUCGAUGCGGAGACCGCGCCGUCAACAUGUUCGCAUGCCUGUGGAAUUUCUUCGACUGGCUCGACCAGCCGGUGACCAACUCGACGCCCGGGAUGGACAACAAGAAGAUUGUCCAGUCGCCGACGCCGCCCGUACCCGUCCAGGUACGUAGUAAGCACGAUGGCUCGGGGGUGGCGGCUUCUGUGUCGGGGGUGCGUAGACGGAGCGGCCCUCAAGGGCUGCGCUCGCCCGCCGCAAAAAGGCCCCUCUCCGCCCCCGUUGCACUUCAGGGCUGGUUACACAAGCAGGGCUCGGAGGGUCUCAUGCUCUGGAAGAAACGUUGGUUCGUGCUCUCCGAGUACUGCCUCUUUUACUACAAGGGCCCGGAGGAGGAGAAACUGCUCGGUUCGAUAUUGCUACCUUCGUACCGAGUGACCGUGUGCAAGCCGGAGGACAAAGUCAACAAGAAGUUCGCCUUCAAGGCCGAGCACGCGAACAUGAGGACUUACCACUUCGCGGCCGACAGCCGCGACAGCAUGAACCAGUGGGUGAACGCGCUGACUCUGGCGACUCUCCUGCAGGAUCCCAGCCCCGGUGCGGGCGAAGCCGCGGUGGUGAUCGAGAUAGCCGGGCAGCAGGACGGCGAGCGGAGCGCCAGGCCCAGCGUCUCGUCGAUCUCGUCGAUCCUGAACCAGAGCGCCGACGACAGCGACUCCGGCUUCCACGGCUUCCAGUCGCGCGACGACCCGAGCCACGCGUCCAACAACAACUCCAGCCCGAACAGCGCCAACACUGCCUCCUUCCCGAACCUGAGCGGCAGCAACAGCAACGGCAACUCCGCCGGCAACAACCACACGAGCGACUCGCAGUCGUCGCACCCGAUGAUGAACGGCUGGAUCCAGCAGUCGCCGCAGUACGGCCAGCCCGGCACCUCGCAGCCACCGCCGGCGCCGCCGGCGCCGUCGUCGCAGCAGCAGCAGCAGCAAUACGGCCACUUGCUGCCGUCGCAGCAACUGCAACCGGGCCACUCGCACCAGCACCAGGCGCUGCUGCUGCAACACCUGCCUGCGCAUCAGAACCCGGCGCUGCCGAGCGCUCACCAGACGUCGCACCCGCACAAGCACCAGGUGCUGCUGGUCCAACAACAGCCGCAGCCACAGUCGCAGCAGCAGCCGCAGCAUGCCGGCGGCGGCGGCGGUGACCGGCUGCAGACCGUCCAGCCCAUGUCCCGCAAGUUCGGCCAGCCGAUCUACGCGAACGCGCCGCCGAAGCCGAGGAGGCUGACCGACGGCUCCAACGAGUACUCGACGCCGUCGCCGUCGCCGGAUUACCGCAAGAGCCCGGUCUCGCCGGACGUCGUCACGGUGGCCAGCAAGAGCCCGAUGUCCGACUACGAGGCCGCCGCCGGCGGCGGCCGCAGCGCGAUCUACGCCGCGCGGAUCAACCAGCAGCCGUCGCAGCAGAGCCUGCGCACCGACAAGUCCGGCCUGAAUUACGGCUACGGCCAGACCCAGCCGACCGAGAGGAGGACUCCGGACACGUACGGCCGCAACGCGAAGCCCCGGCCCGCCGCCGGCAGGCCCAACGGCGACUACGAGGAGGUCUACGGCACCCCGCAGCUCUACCAGAGGCCCGCCGGCCCGGUCGGCUACACCAAGAGCACCGCGCCGGCGCCCAUCGCCAUCCCGCUCUAUGCGCAGCACCAGCAGCAGCAGCAUCUCCAGCAGCAGAUCAAGCCGCCCGUCACGCCGCCGACCGUGUCGAUGGUGAGACAAUCGUCCAGAGCCCAACCGCCACCGCGGCCACAUAGCGCGGACUUUCUCGAGUACGAGGCGGCGAGGAGACCCCAGCAACAGCCUGCGCAAUGCGAGAAACCCCCGAAUCAGCCGAGGCGCCCGCAGAGGCCCAAGUCUAGCUUGGACAUAGUGAACCCGUCGGACACGACCAACGACGGUUACUUUUACUCCGAGGAAAGGUACGCGGCGCAGAUGCGCCAGUCCGCGGUUUACCUGCACCAGACGCCUCAGCACUAUCAGCAGCAGAGGAAUCAGUCUCUGUCACGCGCGACGAUGCAGCCGAAACUGCCGGGCAUCCGCGACAAGCCCGACGAAAGUAGAGUAUCCACCUUGCCGGACUCGUCGUGCCCUGCGCUGAGGCGCUCGCAGCAGCGGGAUCACGUUCAUCAGCAGCACACGAUGCCCAGUCAGUCGCUGACGCAGAGACAUUCCGAGAUGCAGAGCGACCGACGUCGCUUCUCUCGGAUUCGAUCGGAGCGUCACGCUCGAGCGUUCGUUCCCACCAGGAUCAUGGGCGCCGAUCCGAAGCUGCGGAGAUCGCUGCGCGAGAAGAGCUGCGAGGCGAACGGCCGCGAGACGCUGGCGACGCACGUCGGCGGCGGCGGCGAUGACAACACGGUGCCCCGAAGAGUGCUGCCGCGCGAGUACGACGGGUGGGGAAGGACGACGGGCCACGGUGGCCAUGGCACUCACAUCUCACAGACGUGUCACGCCGGUUACGCAGGUGGCGGCAGGCGAUGGAGCGAGCAGCAGCAGUUCUGUAGAUCGGCGUCGGCGCGCCUGCCGAGGACGCGACAUCCGGCCGCCCUCGACCCGGACGACGACGACUACGCGGAGAGGUCCUCCGAGCAGGACUCGCGGGAUGGCGAGCGCAAGAUUCAGCAGCGCGAAGAGUCGAUGAAGCGGCUGCUGGAAUGGAAGCAGCGUAUGCUGCAGUCCCCGCUGACGCGCAAGCCGUCCGGCUCGGCGAACCGCGGCAGGGCGCAGAACGAUCUGUCGAGUUACUACAAGCAACAGGCGCUGCUGGACUUGGCAGCGCACGAGGCCGCCGUCGCGGAGGGCCGUCACUCUCGGCGGCGGGAGGACGGCCACCGCUCGCACAUCAGGAGCAAGAGCUCGGACGGCCGGCGGACCGCCGCCGCCAACGUGUCCCGCUACAACAGCUACUCCAGCGAUGACGAAGAGCUGGGGGAUGUCCGGAGGAAACGUACGCGCAGACCUUCGCAUGCAGGAAGGAGCCCCCGACACGCCGGCGACGACCGGCCACCGGCGACGUCGGCCGUCCAGGACGUCACGUUGCCCGCCGGCCGCACGAGCGUUAAUCAGCCGCACGGCCAAUCGCACAAGGCGCAGCUUAACGCUCGCUGCAGAGCCGGCCCGGGUGGAGGCGGCGCGCCCGUCGCGCUGUCCUCUCUGGGUGGCAUACCGCCGGACGCGGGUUACGACGAGGUGAGUUUCCCGCCGCCUCCGCCGCCACCGCCGCCGCCGCCGCCGCCGCCGCCGCCGCCGCCGUCGUCGUCGUCGUCGUCGUCGUCGUCGUCGUCGUCGUCGUCGUCGUCAAUAAGAAACGACGAGUACGCAUACGCAGCCGCGCUGUCGGCGGACAAGCGGUCGAGGAAACGGCCCGAGGAGGUCGCCUUCGAAGAAGCCGCGAUCAGGCACAAGAACAGCCCGCGGAAGCCGCCGGGAGGAAUCCUCAAGACCUCGAGCGUUUACGGUUUCGAGCGGCAAUUCGUCGACGGCGGCGACAAGACGGAGAACAGCGACGGCGGCGGCGGGCUGUGCGGUUAUCGCGCGGCCGACGCUUGGCACGUGGCGAAGAACGUGCAGUGGGACGCCAAGGAGGACAACGACGAGUGGGGGGACCCCGGCAUCGACGAGAGCAAGGUCAUCAAGGAGUUCUCUUACCAGUACAUCAGGCCGAAGGAAGCCGGCGACGCCAAAACGGACGAGAGGCAUGAGUCGAUGAACCUGGUGCAAUGCAGGAUCCGCUCGUUCGAGAUGAACCUCGACGGCGCCGCUUCCGAGAAGGAGGUGCUGUCCAUGCAGGAGCCGCUGAAGGUGUCGCCGUUGCAGGCGAUCGAGGCUCACAUCUCGAAGCUGGAGUGCUCCAACUCGAAGACUUCGUCCGUCAUACGCAGCUUCGCGCUCGGCGACCCGAACGCCGCGGAGAACUCUUCUAGGUACAAGAGCGUCGAGCAAGGCCACUCCAAGCAGGCUUCCAGCGACAGCAACAAGUCGGUGAAGGACCUGUUGGCGGACUUCGAGCGCAAGUCGCAGCAGGCCAACUGGCAGAAGUGCGAGAAGCGGCAGGAGGCGAAGCACCACGCCGAUCAUUGCGAGAGCGAAGCACUGCGCUACGCCGCCGCGAUCGGCAGCUUGGACCGCCGAGGACACAGGAGAACCUGUGUCGAGCGGGAGAAGCUCAUCAUGGACAAGGACAGCGACGACAGGGACGAAGAUCAGGUCGCGCAGUGUUUCACUGUGGACACCCUGUACGCAGAUGUUGGCAAGCAAAUCGACGGCUCCUCGAGGCAAGGUAAGCCGAUCGCCUCGGAGGACGGUCUAGCUGAGCGAUGCCUGCCGAGGCCCGCCGACAUGGACAUCGUCGUCUCGCCGGGUUCGCCGACGCGCGACAGGACUAGCGUGACCGAGUCCUUGCUGACGCACGGCGACCAGUUCUCCGGCGACAGUGACCAGCCGACCAGCUGCAUCUCGAAGCAGGACGACGCGAGUGUCGAGGAUCAUUACCUGCCUAUGACGCCCAGGAAAGCCAUACUCGACCCGAACGGCGACGACCGGCCGAACCCGAAGAUCAUGGAGAGCCUGUUCGCCAAUCUGGAGCACGAGGAGAGCUCUUACGUGGAGAUGUCGCAGAACGGGAUGAGUCGCUCGUUGCUGGCGCCAAACGGAGACGGCGACAAGCACGAUUCCGGCGACUACUCCACCCUGGACACGUCGCACUAUGAGCUGGUGUGCGUGUCGGACAGCAAGAUGGAGCCGGUGUACAUGGAGGUGAGCCAGUUGUCUGAGAAGGAGGACGAAGAGAGCGGCGGCGGCGGCGGCAAAAUGUCGACGAGGCGAAACAGCGCCAACGACGGCGCGACGCAUCCCCGAGCCGACCUGCCCGACAUUCUGACGGCGCUCAAGUCCGACAGUUCCGACGCCGACGACGAGUCGUCCAAGGACUUGGACUCGAUCGACGCGCCGCGGCACCCGCGCUUCAGCCUGUCCGACACUUUCCGGCCCGCGUCUUACUACCUGGGCGCCAGCCGCAACAUGAUCGCCGAACUGCACGACUCGUCGGACAGCGAGCUGGUGUCUCCUCCGCCGAUACCCACCUCCCCGCCUCCCCUGGACGACCUGGACUCGUUGGAGAUGCAGGAGUCGUUGGAGAUGAAGAAGGUCUCGCCGCAGGUGGCCACGGGCAAGGACAACGUCGCGCUGAGUCGCGACUCGCCCAAGUCCUGGAGCAAGCCGUUGGGUCAGGUGGAGGCGCACAGGCCGCCGUCGCGCUUCUCCGACGCGACCAUCAGCUCCACCUUCAGAGGCAGCAGGAUAUCGCUGGAGAGCACGUCAGGCGGCAGCGACACGGUCGAGCUGAGGAACGACGAGGAGGCGCGGCACAGGCAACUCAAGAGAAGACCCGUCAGCGACGACGUAUGCGGCGCCCUCGACAGCCUCGACGAAUACGAGUCGUUGAGCAGCCGCUUCGACGGCACGAGCAUUGACCUCGAUCAGUACCUGGAAGAGCUGCAGGCCCGGGACGCCUUCAACGUCGACCUCUACGCCAAGGAUCUCAGUUACAACAGCAUCUACGGCUUCAACGAGAACAUGCUGGUGGUGGACAAAUUGCAGAAGACCACUCACUGCCAGGACCUCACUAGGAAGAUGAAGCUGAUGUCGAGCAACCUCGACCGGCCGUUCGACUACGCCUGUAAGAACAAGACCGGCUCCGCGAGCAGCCUGCCGUCCAUGAGGGUGUCGGACCUGCCGCCAGCCCACCAACACUCGCAGUCCUUCACCGGAGACGCGCACUACGAGAACAUCACGAGCUUCUCGCCGCUUCGGGGCUCGCCGGCGAUCCGGCCGGACAGCGAACCGCCGCGCGACAACAACGUCGUCCACCGGCUGCAGAGCGCGCCGCAGAACGGCAGUGGCGGCGCGCUCGCCAUCUCGCACAGCAGGGACUCCAGUUACUCGCUCGCGUCCGCCGCGGCGUCCAUCGCGACGUCCAUGGCCUGCCAGAGGCCCGCCAGCGCGCAGUCCUUCAUGUACUCGCCCGUCAGCUCCGUGUCGUCGGUGAAUCACGUCGCCCUCGCGGCCAACCAGCUGCAGCAAAGCAACGUUGCCGCGGCGAGUCCCUACGCCGGCGAGCAGCCUCGUUUCCCGAAUCACUCGCGCUCCGCCAGCCAUGAGCUGUACGUGCGGCACACGCUGAUGCCGACGCCGAGCCACCAUCGCUCCACGUCCAGCCAGGACUGCAGUCAUUACCCGUGCUCGUUGGCGCCGCCGCCGCCGCUGCCGCUGCCGCCGCCACCGACGACGACACCGGUGUCGACGUCGUCGCAGAGCGUCGUCAAGCAGUCGGUGCUGCAGUCGUACCUGCCGAACGCCGGCGAGCAACGUGUGCUGACCAGUGCCGACCAAACCGGCGCGCCGUAUUACUACUCCGAUCUCCAGGCCAGCGUGAACAACGUGAACACCGAGCUGGCCAAGCCGACGAUCGGUCACAGCUCGAGGUUACCUCAGCUGAACAACCAGAGGGACGACGCGAGCGGCUUGAACAAGCGGAACGACAUCGGCCGCAUAGUGAACCCGAUCGCGCGGCAAAUGCCGCGGCGCAUUCAAGUGGACGACAUCGAGGAGGCGAGGCGCAUCGCCGCCGAGCUCAGGCGCACCACCUGCCAGUUGCUGGCCGACAACAAGGCCGCCCUCGUGGACAAGAGGAACUUCUACGAGGCGGACACGCUGCGUCGCGUCAAGUCCAUCGACCCGCUGCCGCCGGACGUGUCGUUGGCGGAAGUGAACGCCAGGAACCUGUACCCUCACGGUCUCAGGGAUAAGUCCGCUGAUCCGGUCACGGCCAGCACCGGCCACACUGCCGAGUCCAUAGCGUAUAUCGCGCAGGCGUCUCAUCGUAGAUCGAGGUCCCUGGAGGGACUGCUCGACGACGUCGGCCUGCAGAAUUUGAUGGAACAGCGUAACCGAGCGAACCGCUCGGCGGCGGCGGCGGCGGCGGCGACGGCGACGACGGCGGCCGCUACCGCCGCCGCGUUCUCGGCCGCUUCGGUCGACCAGCUGGAGGCGCCGAGGCAGAGCCUCGCGUUGGCAGCCGGCGACCACGCGGCCGUGAACGACAGCGUGAACUUCCAUGUGGACGACCCUUGGGAGCAGGACACCCUCUGGUGCGAGAAUCUCCGGAGGGUGAGCCUGCGAAACGCGCGUUCGCUGGAUAACCUGGACAGUCCACCGCGAGCCGGCGGCGGCUCCUCCUCCGGUGACUCCAAGUCACGCAGCAGGAUCACCCGCGGAGCGACCUACGUGAACGACAGCGUCGUCCUGCGCAGGGAUCACUGCGCGGACGAGCCACGCGGUGAACGAGCGCGAGUCAAACGCCGAACGAACAAGGAUCGCGAUCAUCUCGCGCGGGAACGCGCGGCGACGUUGGUCGACGACGACGACGACGACGACGACGACGAGGACGAGCACGAAGACGUGGACGAUGACGAGAACGACGUCGUCGCCACCUACGAGACCCUGUCGAUGGAGCGGAUCGGCGCUGGCGGUUACGUGUGGGACCCGCAGAACGAGGCCUACCGCAAGCCCAGCAGCCGCGCGGCCGACGCGACGAAUCAUUUUUUAGAAGACGGCAACCUUCCCCCGGCUCGCUCGAUAUCGGACGCCCGAAUGUCCGCGGCGUCGUUCGAGCUCGACCGAGAGAAGCUCCGCCAAUGGGACUUGUUGUCGAGCGCCUGCUUGCUCCAGGAACAGCAGCGCACCUCGAUGGCGGACUCGGGGCGAGGGUUGCCGCUCGCGGAACAUCCUGGAGACGCGCUCGAUUCAAGGCACGCUGUCGUCGCGCCGUCGUCGACGACGACGACGACGACGACGACGACAGCAACGACGUCGACGAUGAUGAAGACGACCAUGACGACGACGUCGACCAUGACAACGACGACGACGACGACGACGACGACGACGAUGACGACGAUGACGACAGAUACAGUGAUCGACAACGAGCGGUUAGACGUUGUCGCAAAGCUCGAUACCGCGGACGUGCGCAAUGUCUUGCCGAUGAGGACGAUGCCGACCAAGAAGGUGCAAGAGCCGAGGGAGCCGUGUAAACGGGCUGCAGCGUCCGGCUCGGGCUCCGUCAUAGGAAGGGAUCCGCUUCCGCCGAGGGCCGUCAGCACGUCUCAUCUGCCUCAAAGAACGCUGACUCAAGCGCCGACGGUAGUGUCCACUCUUCCGUUACCGAGAAGCAGCGCCGCCGGCCAUCAUCGGCAGCAGCCGCUUCCGCUCCAUCACUCCACUCCUCAGCACCAGUCUCUCAGACAGCUGGAGGACGAGCCGGCCACCUCGCAGAUGCUCAGGGCCGCCAGCAACGGCGACAUCCGCAGAGGCCCCGGCAUGGUUACCGGCAACGAGAUGAAAGACCUGAGGUUAGCAUCGCCGGGCGGUCAUUCCACUCAGCGAUUGAUCAGUCCGGUCGGACACUUGCGGGUCGCCUCGUUGAACGACCACCGUGUGUCCAGCCCGAGCGACAGCGAGAUACGCGUGCACAGUCCGAGCGAGAGAAAAAUGAUCAGCCCGAUCGGCAGGGAAGUCGACCGCGGCGGAGGCGCGACGGCGGGUCAGCGGCAAGGCCAGCAGCAGCAGCAGCAGCAGCAGCAGCAGCAACGGGCGCGGGACUGCAACGAGCUGCUGCAUAAAAGGAGUAACGUCAGCUCCCAGAGAGCGGAUGCUGGCGGCAGGGUGACGCAAGCUGGCGCUUCCGGCCUGGUGCGCGUGUCCGCCGGCGAGCUCCUCGGCAGGACCCACGAGGAAUUGGUGCUGCUGCUAAUCCAGCUGCGACGGCAGAACGCGACGGUCCUCAAGGCGAUGGAGACGUGCCACAUGGAGAUCGAGGCGCAGGCUAGACUGGCGGAGCUCGACACGCCGAGACGGCUGGAGAAUCUUCAGAAGCUCGAGGAACUCAAGAGACACCUGAUGGAUCUUGAGAAGCAGUACGAGAAGAGCAAGCCUCUCGUGAACCUCGUGGACAACAUGGUGAAACUGGGCUCCCUGUACAACCGCAACACUGCCAACGGGACCAGCAACGCUCCCGGCUCUCGGCACGAUCCGAUGCAUGAGAACGCGAGGGAUCACCGCGACCGUCUGGAGUUCAACCAGAGGGUGCAGGAGCAACGGCUGCUGGCGGAGGAGCGCAGGGACUGGGAUCGGCUGAGCCCGGAUCACGGGCAGCUGCAGGCCAAAGUGCAGCAACUCUACAAACUGGAUCGAUUGCUUCAAGAGGAAUCUGGCACGCUGCACAGUCUCCAACAAGACAAGGAAAUACUGGAGAAGGCUCUGGGCGGGCUGCGGCACAAACUGCAAGGCAGCAGGAGCAAUUUGGCCGAGGCCGAGCGAUAUCGGAAGCAGCAGCUCCUGCUGGAGCGCGAACUGAGCAGGGUGCGAGUGCUGCUCGCUCACAACUCCAAGGUAAAGCCGGUAUUCUUCCAGAAACUCGAGGAAACGGUGGCGGAGAACGCGAGAUUGGAGCAGGACUUGGUCGUGCUCAGGCAGAAGCUGCAGGCUUCCCGCAGAUACGCCGGCAACAUAACCCGAGACACCUCGAGUACUACCGCGCCAUUGGAGGCGGAACUAAGGCGAGUGCAGCAGCUCGUGGGCGACCUGCAGAGGCAGCGGAAGGAACUGAGCAUUCAAGUUCGCCAAUUGACGGAGAAAUCGCACAGUUUGGUGCAGCAAAUACGCCCGCAGGCCGCGCACGCCCCGCAGGUGCACCACCCGAAGAAGCGCACGCAGAACUCCUGGCUGGAGACCGACCUGGACUCCGGAAUAACCCUGGACCACGGCCUGGACUCGUCGUCGAGCCCGCCCUUGUCCGCGUCGCCUCCUAGCAAGCACAACGACAAUCCUCACCAACGCUACGGCUCGCCUACGCAAUACAAAGACUCGUCGCCGUUGAGUCGCCAUCCGAAUCAACAGCCCUACGCGCAGCCCUCGCAGAAUCACAUAUCGGCGCUGUCGCCGCAGCUGCGCGAGCAGAUCCAGCAACAUCAAUUGAAGCAACAGCUGCUGAAGGACCAGAUGCAGGGCAAGGGCAGCACGAUUCAAGUGGCGCCUCUCUACGUCAACACGGACUCCAGGGUGCCGGGUGAUUACAUCACCGACACGAGCAAGCACAACGGAAGCGUGCUGAACGGCGCGCCAAAUCCCGCUCCGGAAUACAUCCCGCCGCCGCCGCCGCCACCGCUGAGCGAGGAGGCACUGCUGUUGAAUGACAAUUACAGACAGAACGAGGACAACAAGUUCGCCGGUUUGAUGCACAAUCGCGAGAAGCAAGAGAUCAAGACGGUGCGCAUAGUGAAACGCGAGUCGGAGAGACGACAGAGGGACCGCGGCGACAGGACCGGCAACCUUGGGAUCCCGCUGACGAACGGCCUUCAGGCACCGGGUGGUGCCAAGAGACUGUGCGACGAUGACUUGGGAGGCUCCCAAAAAUUCGAGAAAGCGCAGCUGGGCAGGGUGGUGGAAGAGUCGCCGAUCGUCCACGCUCAAAGCACGGUUCAGCUGUCCGAGCUGGACGACGUUCAGUUCCAGAGGAGCAUGUCCCUCCCGCGCGGUUUCGGCGGGCAAAAGCAGCACUCCGGGGUGCACUACGGACCGGUGGUCCCUCCACCGCGCAGCGACAGCAUGCACGCCCUGAAGAGCAUGAUGGCACGACGGCACAAAAUCAGGUUCGAAAGUCACGACGGCAGCUCCGAUAGCACUUUGUCGCCGUACACGGACAGUACCACGUCCAGUUCUCACAUGGCGAUGAGCUCGCCCAACUACUCCACCACGUCGUCGUACAGCCCGAGCCAGAAUCCGAGUUACCCGCCGCAAACCGCCGCCGCGGCGCAGCCGCACCAUUACUACAACCCGCCCGGGCCUUACCGGCACUACGACGGUGCGGCGUCGUCGUCGAUCAGGCCGCCGGGCAUCCUCGCGGGCGCGAUGAGCCCCGAGCUAACGUCGCCGACGAACGUUGGCGUGCACGAGAGACCGGCGACGGCGAUCGCAGCGAUCGCUUCGGGCGCGCCGAGCACGAAGACGUCCGAGUCGCCGCAACUGUCGCCGGUGUUCAAGAGCGAGGCCGCCAAACAGAUAAUCAAAGAGAUGACGGAGAAGAGGGUGGAAGGGCCGCGACGAAGGCAGAUCCCGCGGGAGAAGAGGCGGCACUACACCGUGUCUAGUAGCAAACCGGUGCUCGACUUACAGGACACUUUCUCCAAGAUGGGCAUGGGUAGAGCCAGGGACGACUUGGACAUGGAGAGAGCGCUGAGACCGAGGAUAAACGCUCCCGACGUCGUGCGAUCGACGUUGAGCCACAAGGAGCUAAAGUACAAUGAGAGCACCAUAGACCAGCUGUUGGGCACGCCCAACAAAAUCGUCAUCCCCGAGCGGUAUAUUCCUGAACAGACGCCGGAAUUGACGGCGGAGGAGCAACAGCAACGCUUGAAGAAGGCUGAGGCGAUCAGGAAGAUGCUCUCGGAGACGACCGUGACCGCCCCGGAAGGAGGUGACGACGAGUCCAAUGUGGAGAAGUCAGACACCCUGAAGAGGAAAGUGGUGGAGGAAAAGCGGCAGCGGGAGCACAUUCUCCAGCUGAAUCAGAUAUUGGCGAAGCAAGUGAUGGAGAAAAGCAAAAUGGUAGCGGGUAACCAGGCACACUGACUGACAUGCUUACUCCAUCCUUCCUCCUCUAUAGGACACGCACGUCACGUUAUCAUUUUCAGUGAAAGCUCUGGCAACGCUACCGCUGAAAACCGAGUCGAGCUUAGACGACGAGGACCUCUCACCCGUGGCUCCCUUGCCGCUUUAUCAGCAAAGAGAGAACUACUAUUCGUAAGCUGCUCCUAAGAGCGCGAAGAACCCUACUGCCAAUGCGAGGACGAGAGAAAGCGAGAAAGAGAGAGAGAGAGAGAGAGAGAGAGAGAGAGAGAGAGAGAAAACACGGAGGAACGUUCCUCUCCGGCGCGCUUAGUUUAAGAGGAAACUCGCGCGGGAAUUCGUGCGCUCAGCACCGAGCAAGCCCUUUCUUUCAUUCGCACCUCGAGAGACUGUACAUAAUCAUCGACUAAAUAAAACGAUAACAAAAGUAGCUGUGACAUAUUCGUUAAACGGUUAAGGAGCUCGUGUGACGCGGCGUCACGAGAGAACGUCGAUUGCAAGCUCACGGACUGUAAUUUCCGCACUUGCCGUGUGCGACGCGGAGAGCGGAGCGGACGCUCACCGCUCUCUCUCUCCGUGUUAUAUAUCAGACUGCGAGACAGCGAGAGAGACCUCGAUCUCGCGACGACCGCUUGUCAUUUUUUUACACCGACCUUUUACAUUCGACGCUGGGUGAGCGAGAGCGGCUGCCGCCGCCGACGUCUCGCAUACGAAAACGAAGUCACUCUUCCGCGCGACGGAUUUUCACGUCGACGCGCGGACUUUGGGAAACCUUUUAUCGCGUCUCUAUGCGCGCAACCGUGAAAGUUCUCUACACUUUUUUCGAAUCGAUGUAUGUAUUUAGAAAUGUAACGAGAGAGAGAGAGAGAGAGAGGGAGGGAGAGGGAGAGACGCGCUCGGUGCUCCUCGACUAGGAAGACUCCGACUCCGACGCGCGGUCGCGCGUCGUUUUACGUACAAUCAUUUUCACGAUGCGAAAGCACUUUUAUAUGACCGCGAGCGACGCGGUCGCGCGGACCGCCACCAAAGUCUGAGCGCAGCAGCAGCAGCAGAAGUCGUAGAUCUCGAACGGCGCGGGACGAGAGCUCGUCGUUCGAGCGACGCGACGUGCGAGCGUCGCGAGUUAUUGGAGGCAGGGAGAGAAGGAAGAGAGUCGAGCGCGGGAGAUAUCAAUAUAUCAGCGCAGCGCGCGAGACGCCCUUAAGGGGGGGAAUUACAUGCGGAAGACCGUUUUCGAGUCUGUUUUUACGAAUUCUUUCAACAGAAACAGUAAGAGCAAUGGACUUGAAAUUUCCACAGUGUAUUCAUUAACGUCCAAAAUAUAAAAUAAAUUUGGUUGAAUCACAAGAACCGAUCCAAUUUGCAAUUGUAGAUAAAAAUGCAGUCAUCCGUUUGCGAGCUCUAUGUUUGCUGUCAACAUAAUUCCAGAUCUCUCACUACUCUGAAACUAACUAGUAAGAAAGAUUUUUAAAAUGUUCGACUGCCCAUUAUAGCCCGUAGCAAAAUGAAGCCAGGUUUGGAAGAAUAAUGACUGUAAAAAAAAAUAGUAUCGAAAAUGAAACUUUUUUCAACUUGUAAUCAUGUUUAAAAAAAUGAAUAAAAUAAAAUAUAACUGUGUUCGAGAUAGGUGCGAAAACUGCAUGUCUACUGUAUAUUGCGCAAAAAUUUCAAGUUAUUCGGUUCAAUAUUUCUCUUGCGUAAUCGUGUCGACAGUUUGAGAAAAUGGUGUUUCCAGAUAAACGCGAUUAAAGUUUUAUGCGUACUUUCCAUAUGGAUAGUAACAAAUUUAUUUUAUACCUUGAACAUUAGUGAGUACACUUUUGAAAAUUUCCAAAAGUCCAUUGAUCCUACCGUUUCUGUGAAAAAUAUUCAUGAAAACAGCGUUGAAAGGCGACUUGCUCCGCGUGUAAUUUCGCCCUUGAGCGCGUUGAGAGAUCGAGCCUCGAUAGGGAUCUUACUCGCCGAACUCGAUUAUCGGAGGGACAGGGGCUCUCGGAUCCCGAGGGAUUCGCCGAGCGCGGCGUGAUUAGCGUGUAAACUAGAUUGUAAGGAGCGCAUGAUACACACGCUUGCGAGACGCCCGUUACUGUUAGCGUUGUACGCGAUUUGCCACGGGCCAUUUUAUAGCAUGGCAUCUUAAUGUUUAGAGCAGAGAGUUGCGUAACGCAGAGAGUCGCGCGGGACGGAGGUGUGUGCCAAAUAGUCGCGGCGGCCGGCGACGAGCGAUCGAGCUCGCGACCGAAGCAACCGAAGUCGAUCGUCGAUCGACGGACCGCCGCCGUCCUCGGGAGAACGAGAAACGCGGAGCAACGCGGGUAAACGCGCGCCGACGGCGACGAGGCCGUAAGUCUGACUGUAAAAAGGAGUCGCGAGACGCGCUCGCGCGCAACAUCGGCGUGCCUCUCGUUUCGUUCGCUCGACCCGACCGGGUUUCAUCCGGACUCGUCGAACCGGACUCGAGACCCGCUCUCGUUGAGAUGCGUUCGUAACGGCCGGCGUAAAUACCGUCUCGCGAACGGCAGGGAGGAGAAUUCGGCCCACGGUCGAAUUGGCUCCCCUUAAUCUGACCGGAUUAAUUAAUCCACCGGCGGCUUAAUUCGUCAACGCGGAAGCGAAUUUCCGCGGGCGAGAUUGCGAGGUUCGGAUCAGGCUCGAUCGGCUCGAACCUUCGUCCGGUCGAGCCAGGCCUACGUCGAGCUGUUGUCUCGUCGAUCACUGUACCCCUCUCUAGCAUCAAUUUUUCUUUCCCUUUAUAUUUCGUUCGUCGAGAGAUAUAUUCUCAAUGUGGUAACCGCUUGCGCGCUCGCUUUUAUAGCUAUAACGUCUCAGUUGUUUGUAGAAAUUAAUUUCGGAUUAUUAACCCUUCGGUGGUGCGAAGCGUCUGUCAGAUCAGCCUGUCUACCUGAUCUCUCCGCGCGUUGAGGCGCAGAAAAAUUGGAGAUUUAUUGUACCUCACUCUCUUCGCAAUAAAUUUGUACAUAGACAUAGGCAUUAUGCACGCGUUUGUUUAAGUGUACACCUUCGCUCGCGUUAGUGCUCGUCGGAAAAGGGAGAUUUCUUUCGGGCUGCUGUCGACAAGGAAUUACAAAACCGGCAACCACCGAACAGUUAAUAAUAAUAAUAAUAAUAAUAGUUAUAACAAUAAUAAUAACGACAACAAUAACGAUAAUAAUAAUAGUAAUAAUGAUAAUAAUAAUAAUAAUAAUAAUAAGAAAGAGGCGGAGGCGUUCCUCCAUUCCCAGGCAGCGCAAGACUUUCCGGAAUCAUCCUGAGUGUGUCCAGGAUGUUCCCCAGGCGAGCGUCCUGAAACCGUCUCGACCCGAGAUGUGAUCUCAGGACACUGUGCCAUCUGGGUUUUAUAAUCACCAGCGGCACACACGUACACAAACAUACACACACACACACACACGCAGGAAAUCAUGAAGAAACUCAUUAUUUCCCAGAGACUAUAGACUCACCCCUCCUCCCUCGAGUAUCCACCCCGGUGUUGGAGAAAUAAUGAUGACGAUGACGAUGCUAAUGAUGGUUACGAUGAUGGACCGGCGCCCUUUAUUGAGUGUCUCUCCCUUCUUCGUUUUUUAGAUGUCCAAUCCCGUGUGGCACGCAGUAUCACUCGCGGCGAUUUAGCCAUUAGGCAUUCUACACGUUCUCGGCCCCCCCCCCUCCCCUCCACGAGUUCGUAGAGAUAAGUUUUUAUAACGACGAUAAUAUUACCCGCGCGCGUGUGACACAAUCCGCGAUCGUCGCGAUCGCGCGCGCGGCGGGACACGCGAAUUAUUGUAAAUACAAUUUUAUCGUGUACGCGGCGAUAACGCGACGCGACGCGCGACGAAACGACUGACGCGAAAACGAGCGGCUGCCUUUUCGCGAUCGCGCGCCGCAACUGAAGUUCGCCGCGCGCCACGUACCGACGUCGAGAAUCGCAGCGCGAGCGAGCGAUCGACCGAUCGAUCGGUCGGUCGGCGCGCAAUCGAUAUCGUUUCGUCGCUGAUCUCAAACGGUGGCGCGAACCGGCUCGCAGGAACCACGGCAGACGCGCGCGCGGCACCGAUGCGAUACUCUAUUCGUAUAGGCCAGGACACUACGCGAAUUAACACGAGAACAAGAACUGUUAUUGUUAUAAUGAUGAAAUAAAAAUCGUACGACGAA
rnacentral:misc_RNA from 1 species